GACGAACGCUGGCGGCGUGCUUAACACAUGCAAGUCGAACGGAAAGGCCCUGCUUUUGUGGGGUGCUCGUGUGGCGAACGAGUGAGUAACACGUGAGUAACCUGCCCUUGACUUUGGGAUAACUUCAGGAAACUGGGGCUAAUACCGGAUAGGAGCUCCUGCUGCAUGGUGGGGGUUGGAAAGUUUCGGCGGUUGGGGAUGGACUCGCGGCUUAUCAGCUUGUUGGUGGGGUAGUGGCUUACCAAGGCUUUGACGGGUAGCCGGCCUGAGAGGGUGACCGGCCACAUUGGGACUGAGAUACGGCCCAGACUCCUACGGGAGGCAGCAGUGGGGAAUAUUGCACAAUGGGCGGAAGCCUGAUGCAGCAACGCCGCGUGCGGGAUGACGGCCUUCGGGUUGUAAACCGCUUUCGCCUGUGACGAAGCGUGAGUGACGGUAAUGGGUAAAGAAGCACCGGCUAACUACGUG
rnacentral:rRNA from 1 species